UUGUCUCAAAGAUUAAGCCAUGCAUGUCUCAGUACAAGCCACAUUAAGGUGAAACCGCGAAAGGCUCAUUAAAUCAGUUAUGGUUCCUUAGAUCGUACCCACAAUUACUUGGAUAACUGUGGUAAUUCUAGAGCUAAUACAUGAAAACAGAGCUCCGACCGGAGACGGAAGGAGCGCUUUUAUUAGAUCAAAACCAAUCGGCGGCGGGUUCGCCCGUCGUCGAAACUCUUGGUGACUCUGAAUAACUUUUGCUGAUCGCACGGUCUCGCACCGGCGACGCAUCUUUCAAAUGUCUGCCUUAUCAACUGUCGAUGGUAGGUUCUGCGCCUACCAUGGUUGUAACGGGUAACGGGGAAUCAGGGUUCGAUUCCGGAGAGGGAGCCUGAGAAACGGCUACCACAUCCAAGGAAGGCAGCAGGCGCGCAAAUUACCCACUCCCGGCACGGGGAGGUAGUGACGAAAAAUAACGAUACGGGACUCAUCCGAGGCCCCGUAAUCGGAAUGAGUACACUCUAAAUCCUUUAACGAGGAUCAAUUGGAGGGCAAGUCUGGUGCCAGCAGCCGCGGUAAUUCCAGCUCCAAUAGCGUAUAUUAAAGUUGUUGCGGUUAAAAAGCUCGUAGUCGAAUCUGUGUCCCGCGCCGCCGGUUCAUCGCUCGCGGUGUUCAACUGGCGUGUCGCGGGACGUCCUGCCGGUGAGCUUAGCCCGCGAGGGCGGCUCAACUUGAAAUCCCAUCGCGGUGCUCUUCAUUGAGUGUCGAGGUGGGCCGGCACGUUUACUUUGAACAAAUUAGAGUGCUUAAAGCAGGCUAAAAUUUUGCCUGAAUACUGUGUGCAUGGAAUAAUGGAAUAGGACCUCGGUUCUAUUUUGUUGGUUUUCGGAACCCCGAGGUAAUGAUUAAUAGGAACGGAUGGGGGCAUUCGUAUUGCGACGUUAGAGGUGAAAUUCUUGGAUCGUCGCAAGACGGACAGAAGCGAAAGCAUUUGCCAAAAACGCUUUCAUUGAUCAAGAACGAAAGUUAGAGGUUCGAAGGCGAUCAGAUACCGCCCUAGUUCUAACCAUAAACGAUGCCAGCUAGCGAUCCGCCGACGUUCCUUAGAUGACUCGGCGGGCAGCUUCCGGGAAACCAAAGCUUUUGGGUUCCGGGGGAAGUAUGGUUGCAAAGCUGAAACUUAAAGGAAUUGACGGAAGGGCACCACCAGGAGUGGAGCCUGCGGCUUAAUUUGACUCAACACGGGAAACCUCACCAGGCCCGGACACCGGAAGGAUUGACAGAUUGAGAGCUCUUUCUUGAUUCGGUGGGUGGUGGUGCAUGGCCGUUCUUAGUUGGUGGAGCGAUUUGUCUGGUUAAUUCCGAUAACGAACGAGACUCUAGCCUGCUAACUAGGCGUAUUUUCGACAUCUCAAAGGUCCGCCGGGCCGGCUUCACGGCCGUGUCUGUGCGCGAUUUUUACUGUCGGCGUACAAUCAAUUCUUCUUAGAGGGACAGGCGGCUUCUAGCCGCACGAGAUUGAGCAAUAACAGGUCUGUGAUGCCCUUAGAUGUUCUGGGCCGCACGCGCGCUACACUGAAGGAAUCAGCGUGUCUUCCCUGGCCGAGAGGCCCGGGUAACCCGCUGAACCUCCUUCGUGCUAGGGAUUGGGGCUUGCAAUUGUUCCCCAUGAACGAGGAAUUCCCAGUAAGCGCGAGUCAUAAGCUCGCGUUGAUUACGUCCCUGCCCUUUGUACACACCGCCCGUCGCUACUACCGAUUGAAUGAUUUAGUGAGGUCUUCGGACCGGUACGCGGCGGCGUUUCGACGUCGCCGAUGCUGCUGGAAAGAUGACCAAACUUGGAU
rnacentral:rRNA from 1 species